UACGUAGGGUGCGAGCGUUGUCCGGAAUUAUUGGGCGUAAAGAGCUUGUAGGUGGUUUGUCGCGUCUGCUGUGAAAAUCCGAGGCUCAACCUCGCGCCUGCAGUGGGUACGGGCAGACUAGAGUGCGGUAGGGGAGAUUGGAAUUCCUGGUGUAGCGGUGAAAUGCGCAGAUAUCAGGAAGAACACCCGUGGCUAAGGCGGCUCUCUAGUACGGUACUGACGCUGAGACGCGAAAGCGUGGGGAGCGAACAGG
rnacentral:rRNA from 1 species